AGUUCAUUGUUUUAAAUCAAACCUGUUAUGAUUUAAGAUAACGACCGCCAUGCACCACGUUACCUGCUGAGCUGGACUCCGGGUUUCGUGGUUCUUUU
rfam:Streptococcus macacae NCTC 11558 final_molecule, whole genome shotgun sequence.